CGUUAUGGCGGCUGUGCGCGGGAGACCUUCGGGUCUGCCGGGUUUUCCAAUGCCUCGGUUUUCCACCCCGCGUACAGCUGCCACCUUU
rnacentral:antisense_RNA from 1 species